rnacentral:rRNA from 1 species
UACGGAGGGUGCGAGCGUUGUCCGGAAUCACUGGGCGUAAAGGGCGCGUAGGCGGCAGGCCAAGCGUGCGGUGAAAGUCCGGGGCUCAACCCCGGAUCUGCCGUGCGGACUGGUUUGCUAGAGCACUGUAGAGGCGAGUGGAAUUCCGGGUGUAGCGGUGGAAUGCGCAGAUAUCAGGAGGAACACCGAUGGCGAAGGCAGAUCUCUGGGCCGUAACUGACGCUGAGGAGCGAAAGCAUGGGGAGCGAACAGG